rnacentral:rRNA from 1 species
AACGAACGCUGGCGGCAGGCUUAACACAUGCAAGUCGAACGCCCCGCAAGGGGAGUGGCAGACGGGUGAGUAACGCGUGGGGAUCUACCUAGUUCUACGGAACAACAGUUGGAAACGACUGCUAAUACCGUAUACGCCCUACGGGGGAAAGAUUUAUCGGAAUUAGAUGAGCCCGCGUAAGAUUAGCUAGUUGGUGGGGUAAUGGCCUACCAAGACGACGAUCUUUAGCUGGUCUGAGAGGAUGAUCAGCCACACUGGGACUGAGACACGGCCCAGACUCCUACGGGAGGCAGCAGUGGGGAAUAUUGGACAAUGGGCGCAAGCCUGAUCCCAUGCCGCGUGAGUGAUGAAGGCCUUAGGGUUGUAAAGCUCUUUCUCCGAUGAAGAUAAUGACGGUAGUCGGAGAAGAAGCCCCGGCUAACUUCGUGCCAGCAGCCGCCGUAAGAC